GGGCAUGUACCGGCUUCGACGUGGAGCGAGGUGGCAGUUUAAGCACGUAGCAGGCUCGUCUGCUUAUAACGGAACUGUUCUAAAAUAAAGGACAACUCUAAUAAUUUUGGAUUGAUGGCUGCUUAAUGCCAUCUGUCGACUCGGUGGGGCUUACGACGCCGAACUCGGCAUCAUUACCGUAAGGAACGGCUCUUGGGCGUUGCCGCGCGCCCUUGGCUGAAAGUUGCGGCUUGGAACUCGGUGGCCCGCUUACGGGCAGCAGGGAACGACAACAAACGUAAGCUAAACGUGUAGAAAGAGCUGUGGUCUUCUUUACGGACCGGGGUUCGACUCCCCGCAUGUCCACCA
rnacentral:tmRNA from 1 species